AGUGUGUGGCUGUGCAUGUAAAGUCCUGUAUGGACCAGCCAUCAUCAGGUGAUGACUUUGAGUCUUUCCCGGAUGUGACAGUUGUUGCGGAAUAUAUUCCAGCAGAAGCUCCACUAGGGACUAGUAACUCCACAGCUGCCUGUCCAGUAUGUCAGGUUGAAUACCCUCUGGAUUAUCUAUACGUCUAUGCCAGCUCAUGCAGAGAGAGUCUGGAAGAAAACGCCUGUGUCUAAAUCAACUGAAUGUGGAGUUGAAAAUCUUGGUGACGUUAUCCGGGCAAUUGGGGAUGCUGUAACCAAGGAUGACAAAACCUUUGACAUCACAGUGUCACGACAAAACAUGUUGGAGAGGGGCCUUGUGCAAUGGCAGCGG